rnacentral:rRNA from 1 species
UACGGGGGGAGCAAGCGUUGUUCGGAUUUACUGGGCGUAAAGGGCGCGUAGGCGGCCACCGCAAGUCGACUGUGAAAUCUCCGGGCUUAACCCGGAAAGGUCAGCCGAUACUGCGGGGCUAGAGUGCAGAAGGGGCAACUGGAAUUCUCGGUGUAGCGGUGAAAUGCGCAGUAUAUCAAGGAGGAACACCUGAGGUGAAGACGGGUUGCUGGGCUGACACUGACGCUGAGGCGA